rnacentral:misc_RNA from 1 species
UCCGGCUUUCACCGGCUGUCCCCUUAGAGUGCCCACCCGAAGUGCUGGCAACUAGGGGCAGGGGUUGCGCUCGUUGCGGGACUGAACCCAACAUCUCACGACACGAGCUGACGACAACCAUGCACCACCUGUCUCCGCUGCCCCGAAGGGAAGGUGCAUCUCUGCACCGGUCAGCGGGAUGUCAAGCCCUGGUAAGGUUCUUCGCGUUGCUUCGAAUUAAACCACAUGCUCCACCGCUUGUGCAGGCCCCCGUCAAUUCCUUUGAGUUUCGGUCUUGCGACCGUACUCCCCAGGCGGAGUGCUUAAUGUGUUGACGUCGGCACAGCAGGGGUCGAUACCCGCUACACCAAGCACUCAUCGUUUACGGCGUGGACUAC